rnacentral:rRNA from 1 species
AGAGUGGGGGUGAUUCUGAAACUUGAUUUUGAGAAGGCUUACAACAAAGUCAACUGGGAUUUUAUUCUUGAGUGUCAUAAGCUCCGAGGCUUUAACAAAAAAUGGUGCGGGUGGAUUAGAAGUAUCCUGCACAAUGGGACUGUGAGCAUUAAGUUGAAUAACCAAGUUGGCCCUUACUUUCAAAGUGCGAAAGGGGUCCGGCAAGGUGACCCCCAUUCCCCUUUCUUGUUCAAUUUAGCUGUGGACUGUUUGGCUAAAAUGAUUACAAAUGCCCAAAAAAGUGGCCUGAUAGUGGGGCUGGCCGCUGAUUUAAUUCCUAAUGGAGUAGCAGUUCUUCAGUAUGCGGACGACACCAUCAUAUGCCUGGAGUGA